rnacentral:lncRNA from 10 species
AGGAAGACACCCAAACAAAAAAGCCAUGUUAGGGUAGAGGAAGCAGGCAUGAGAGGACUCCAAGAGAGGAAAUUUCAUGCACAAAAUUUCAGAAGCAGGAAAGAACUCAGGUGUUCAAAUGCUGAAAGGACCACAGCAUGGCUUGGGGACAGUGAGUACUACAGGGGAACAGAAGGGUGAGAACAGGGAUUGGUACAGAGGAACCAUUUACAAAAGGCAGUGGCUUUUAUUCUGGUGAUUUAUAUGAGGAAGAGAUGAGAUGAGGUAAUAUGUAAAAAAUUUAAUAUAGUGCUUGAAACAUAGUAGAUGUCAACCAAUAGUAUCUCCUAUUAUUUUUAUUGUUAUUUUAGCAGUACUAGUGGCACUGCUAUUUUUUGAAAAGCAGAUCACACUUCAGGUGCCUCCUGUUAGUGCUCUGUUCCAUCUUUGUUUCUGUCACAGUCUUCAGGACUCUCCCUGUUGCUUUUAUUCUUACUUUCAGAGCACAAAUAUUCAGCUGUUGUAUUCUCUAGAUAUUCCACCCAUGACUAGUGGUUCAUCUGGAAUACUUGUAUCUUGAAUAUAUUUACUUCAUUUACUUCAAAGCUUUCUGAUCCUUUUAUUUACUAAAACAUUUUUUAAAAGAGAAAUGUUUAAAUAAAAUAAUUUAAAAAUUGGGUCAGUUCACUAAAAUACUCCACAUUUGGUAUCAAGAGCAAUAAUUUUUACUACGAUUAUCUAGAAGAACAUCGGAGUCUUGCCCUAGUGAGUGGGGUCUGGGAACCGCCCCCACAAAUGUGUCUGCCCCUCUCCAGCCACUGGGAGGCGUUACUCUCCCCAAAUGAUCAUGAAUGAUUGAUUUGAGAUUCUGGACUCUCAGAGCUUCUUCAGAAGUGAACAAAAGACAGUCAUGCUCUGAGUCUUGGUGGCAUUUAGUCAGCUCUUUAAUGUGAUUCUAAUGGUUUGUGUGUGUGAGAGAGAAUUAACAGUAAAUUCAUUAUGAAAACCCAUUUACCACAGGGUUGACACCAGCAAAACCCUGAGGCAGCUCAGGGAAUUCUGGGACACAACAUCUGUUUCAGUGAACAUAACUCAGACAUUCCAAAUCGGUGCUCGCUCAUCGGUGCUUAAUAGCUUCUUGCACAGUUCCUUUUCUCCUCGGGACAUACACAUUCAGACACAGAAAACCAUAAAGGCCAAAUGUCUUCUUUAAUCCUCCCAGGCUUAGCUAGCUAAAAGGAAACUGUCAAAAGCCAUAGCAACUGCCUAUGUGAAAAGAAAGCAGAAAUAAUAAUAAUAAUAAGAGUGGGAA